CUUGGCUCCCACAUCGAUGAAGAACGCAGCGAAAUGCGAUACGUAAUGCGAAUUGCAGAAUCCAGUGAAUCAUCAAACUUUUGAACGCAUCUUGCGCUUCCGGGUUAUUCCUGGGAGCAUGCUUGUUGGAGUGUC
rnacentral:rRNA from 1 species